rnacentral:rRNA from 1 species
GACGAACGCUGGCGGCGUGCCUAACACAUGCAAGUCGAACGGAAAGGCCCUGCUUUUGUGGGGUGCUCGAGUGGCGAACGGGUGAGUAACACGUGAGUAACCUGCCCUUGACUUUGGGAUAACUUCAGGAAACUGGGGCUAAUACCGGAUAGGAGCUCCUGCUGCAUGGUGGGGGUUGGAAAGUUUCGGUGGUUGGGGAUGGACUCGCGGCUUAUCAGCUUGUUGGUGGGGUAGUGGCUUACCAAGGCUUUGACGGGUAGCCGGCCUGAGAGGGUGACCGGCCACAUUGGGACUGAGGUACGGCCCAGACUCCUACGGGAGGCAGCGGUGGAGAAUAUUGCACAAUAGGCGGAAGCCUGAUGCAGCGACGCCGCGUGCGGGAUGACGGCCUUCGGGUUGUAAACCGCUUUCGCCUGUGACGAAGCGUGAGUGACGGUAAUGGGUAAAGAAGCACCGGCUAACUACGUG